rnacentral:rRNA from 1 species
AUGCCAAGAACGUUGGCCUUGAUGGCUGUGCAGAGGCACACGGCUGCGUCGAGGUCGGCGAGGCCGCUUAGCAGUGGGCAGCACUGCUCGCUCGCCGGCACGCCGAGGUUGAGCUUCAGCAGGUUCAGUACGUUGGCGCACGCGCUCAGCUUCAACGUGUUGAUCGAACAAGUGCCGCCGCCGCCAGGGGUUGGUACUGGGACGGCCGGCGGGGGCACGGCGAUUGGCGGGGUUGGUACUGGGACAGCCGGCGGGGGCACGGCGAUCGGCGGGGUUGGCACUGGGACGGCUGGCGGUGGUACGGCGAUCGGCGGCGUUGGGACUGGCACGGACGGCGUGUUGCCGCACGAUCCGCAACCGUGCGAGGUUCCCACGAGGACCAGGCUCAGGGCGAGGAAGAGGGUGAGCUUGGAGGGCGCCAUUGCUACGAAGCUAGUAGCUAGCUAG